GACGAACGCUGGCGGUGUGCUUCACACAUGCAAGUCGAACGGGGUAGCAAUACCCAGUGGCGGACGGGUGAGUAACACGUAGGAAUCUGCCUUUAGAUGGGGGAUAGCAGACCGAAAGGUCUAUUAAUACCGCAUAUGCCGAAAGGUGAAAGGAGCAAUCCGUCUGAAGAUGAGCCUGCGUCUGAUUAGCUAGUUGGUAAGGUAAAGGCUUACCAAGGCUACGAUCAGUAGCUGGUCUGAGAGGAUGAUCAGCCACAAUGGAACUGAGACAACGGUCCAUACUCCUACGGGAGGCAGCAGUGGGGAAUUUUACACAAUGGGCGAAAGCCUGAUGUAGCGACACCGCGUGAGCGAAGAAGCCUUUUGGGGUGUAAGCUCUGUCAGCAGGGACGAAAAAAAUAGACGGUACCUGCAGAGGAAGCAUCGGCUAACUACGUGCCAGCAGCCGCGGUAAU
rnacentral:rRNA from 1 species